rnacentral:rRNA from 1 species
UGGGGAAUAUUGCACAAUGGGGGGAACCCGUGAUGCAGCGACGCCGCGUGGGCGAGGAAGUACUUCGGUAUGUAAAGCCCUAUCAGCAGGGAAGAAAAUGACGGUACCUGACUAAGAAGCCCCGGCUAACUACGUGCC